GAUGAACGCUGGCGGCGUGCUUAAUACAUGCAAGUCGAACGAAGCACCUUGGACAGAAUCCUUCGGGAGGAAGACCAUUGUGACUGAGUGGCGGACGGGUGAGUAACGCGUGGGUAACCUGCCUUGUACAGGGGGAUAACAGUUGGAAACGACUGCUAAUACCGCAUAAGCGCACAGUACCGCAUGGUACGGUGUGAAAAACUCCGGUGGUACAAGAUGGACCCGCGUCUGAUUAGCUAGUUGGUGAGGUAACGGCCCACCAAGGCGACGAUCAGUAGCCGACUUGAGAGAGUGAUCGGCCACAUUGGGACUGAGACACGGCCCAAAACUCCUACGGGAGGCAGCAGUGGGGAAUAUUGCACAAUGGGCGAAAGCCUGAUGCAGCGACGCCGCGUGAGCGAAGAAGUAUUUCGGUAUGUAAAGCUCUAUCAGCAGGGAAGAUAAUGACGGUACCUGACUAAGAAGCACCGGCUAAAAUACGUAGCC
rnacentral:rRNA from 1 species